CUGCCCACUGAAUUUUAAAGGGCCGCGGUAUUUUGACCGUGCGAAGGUAGCAUAAUCAAUAGUCUUUUAAUUGAAGGCUGGUAUGAAUGGUUGAAUGAGAUAUAUACUGUUUUUUUAAAAAUUUUUUAGAACUUUAUUUUUUAAUUAAAAAGUUAAAAUAUAAUUAAAAGACGAGAAGACCCUAUAGAUCUUUAUUUUUAUAAAUUAUAAUUUAUAAAGAAUUUUAAUAAUUAUAUUUUAGAUAAAAUUUUACUGGGGUGGUAUUAAAAUUAAAUUAACUUUUAUUAUUUAUUUACAUAAAUUUAUGAAUAAAAGAUCCUAUUUUAUGGAUUAAAAAUUUAAGUUACCUUAGGGAUAACAGCGUAAUUUUUUUAGAGAGUUCAUAUCGAUAAAAAAGAUUGCGACCUCGAUGUUGGAUUAAGAGUUAUUUUUAGGUGUAGAAGUUUAAAGUUUAGGUCUGUUCGACCUUUGAAUUCUUACAUGAUCUGAGUUCAAACCGGAGA
rnacentral:rRNA from 1 species